rnacentral:lncRNA from 1 species
UUAUGUUCAGACAUAAUUUUCCUAAUUUCCUUUAGUUCUUUGUCCAUGGCUUCCCUUAGUUCAUUGAACAUACUAAGACAGUUGAUUUAUUGUUUUUGAUUAAUAAUUCCAAUGCCUGGGCUUCCUGAGGGAUACUUCCCAUCACAAUCUCUUUUUCAGCCAGGUGCAGUGGCUCAUGCCUAUGAUCUCAGAACUUUGGGAGGCUGAGGUGGGAGAGUCAUUUGAGUUCAGGAGUUUGAGACCAGGGCAACAUAGUGAGACCCUGUCUCUCUUUUGACUCCAGCCCACUUCCCCUCACUUGGAGGACAUCAGAGAGGCUGUGGCAUUUUCGGGGUCCAGCCAAAGGGAAGAAUAAACUAGGAAUGUGGCUCGUAGGAAAAUCCUGCUGGGUAAGGACAGAAGUGCAAAGUCCUAUUGCCUUAAGGACAUGCCCCACGGCACCCAGUGCUGGGAAAACUGUGAGCCAUGGAAGGAAAACAAGGUUUGAAAUGCGUGGAGCCAGAACCUCGUCUGUGGAAAAUUCUUCCAAAUUUCAUAGUUCCUAUAUGAAAGAAGGCUGAUGACAGUUUCUCAAAUUUUACAACAAUCCAGAACAUUUGUAUGGCACCGUCAACAACAGAUUAGGAAGUUUAACUUUCCUAAACUACCAAUAAUUAAAACACAAAUUUCAACCAUGUUAGGAGGAAGACUGAAGUAUCUUUUCUCUGUAUGGAAAAUAUCUCCCCCAA